rnacentral:rRNA from 1 species
GCUGGCGGCGUGCCUAAUACAUGCAAGUCGAGCGGACCGAACGGGAGCUUGCUCUCGUUUGGUCAGCGGCGGACGGGUGAGUAACACGUGGGCAACCUGCCCGCAAGACCGGGAUAACUCCGGGAAACCGGAGCUAAUACCGGAUAACACCGAAGACCGCAUGGUCUUUGGUUGAAAGGCGGCCUUUGGCUGUCACUUGCGGAUGGGCCCGCGGCGCAUUAGCUAGUUGGUGAGGUAACGGCUCACCAAGGCGACGAUGCGUAGCCGGCCUGAGAGGGUGGACGGCCACACUGGGACUGAGACACGGCCCAGACUCCUACGGGAGGCAGCAGUAGGGAAUCUUCCGCAAUGGGCGAAAGCCUGACGGAGCGACGCCGCGUGAGCGAAGAAGGCCUUCGGGUCGUAAAGCUCUGUUGUGAGGGACGAAGGAGCGCCGUUCGAAGAGGGCGGNGCGGUGACGGUACCUCACGAGAAAGCCCCGGCUAAUUACGUGCCAGCAGCCGCGGUAUACCUAG